CCAAGAGGAAGGCCAAGAUUUGCUGGUCUUCAGUGCUGAUCAUUCUCAGCCGAGUCGCCUCCUCUCCGCCCCCUGCAGGCCGACCAGGGAACUGCUCAGGGGCCGAGUAGGGCCAGGAGCGCGGAGCCGACAGCUCUGGCCCGCUGGGCUGUGGCGGCGGCUACACCGACUGCAGGCCGGCCACCCGGGCGCGGAGACCGCGGGCCAUGGCGCGGGUGCUGAUCGUGGGCGCCGGGCUGACGGGAAGCUUGUGCGCGGCGCUGCUAAGGAGGGAGGCGUCCAGUCCUCUGCGCCUCACUGUGUGGGACAAGGCCGGGGACUCAGGAGGAAGAAUGACUACAGCCAGCAGUCCUCAUAAUCCACAGAGCACAGUGGACUUGGGUGCCCAGUAUAUCACCUGCACUCCUCAUUAUGCCAAAAUACACCAAAGUUUUUAUGAUGAAUUGUUAGCUGGUGGCAUUUUGAAGCCUCUGACCUCUCCUAUUGAUGGAAUGGUGAUAAAAGAAGGAGACUGUAACUUUGUAGCACCUCAUGGAGUUUCUUCAAUUGUUAACCAUUAUUUGAAACAAUCAGGUGCCGAUAUCUGCUUCAGACAACGUGUGACCCAGAUCAAUUUGAGAAACAACAAGUGGGAAGUCUCCAGGGAAACGGGCUCCUCUGAGCAGUUUGAUGUCAUUGUCCUCACGAUGCCUGCUCCUCAGAUUCUGCAGCUUCGAGGUGACAUCACCAACUUAAUUAGUGAAUGCCAAAGGCAGCAACUGGAGUCUGUGAGCUACUCCUCUCGCUACGCUCUGGGCCUCUUUUAUGAAGCUGGCACGAAGAUUGAUGUCCCUUGGGCUGGGCGGUACAUCACCAGUAAUCCCUGCAUUCGCUUCAUCUCCAUUGAUAAUAAGAAACGCAAUAUAGAGUCAUCAGAAAUCGGACCUUCCCUUGUGAUUCACACCACUGUCCCAUUUGGAGUUACACACUUGGAACACAGCAUUGAGGAUGUGCAGGAGUUAAUCUUCCAGCAGCUGGAAAACAUUUUGCCUGGUUUGCCUCAGCCAGUUGCUACCAAAUGCCAGAAAUGGAGACAUUCACAGGGCUUUCUGCACAAAUCUGCUACAACUCCAGCAUGCACCAUCUCAAGGGAGCCUGCAGAGAAGCAGAUCAUUGUCAUUAGAGAGGCCACUAAAUGCCUGAGAGAUGAAGGAAGAGGGAUUCAGAGAAAAGUACUGCAUGAUACAAGCCCUAAUGGGAUGAUGGACCAGUAUUCUACUCAGAGUCCUCCUGCUCACACCCAGUGGGAAAAGAUGCCUUAGAGGCAUGCAGCUGCCGCCCUAAAACCAGACUGCGCCAGAGGUAGAAGGAGGAAGUUCUGGCUACCCGCAAUCUCAAACCCUUCAACCUGAGAUCAGUCUGUGACUCCUCUUCUCCUCUCCAGCAAUGUCAUGACAUAAACGCAUAACCCUUGCUCCCAGAAGAUCUUUUGAAUCAAACCAACGUUGGAGCCAAGCAAUUACACCAUGAAAGGAUCCUGCCAUCUGCCCACUCUAAAGAAACUCAGCAGUUCGGUCCAAAAACAAUGGCUGGAAGGCAAUCAUUUUGAACAAACUCAAGAGGUGGACUUUUCUGCACUCUCCUGGUUACUGCUAUGCUCCCUGGAGGAGAGACAGUGAGGGAUGACCCUGAGGCUCAGGCUUUGGGGGGCUCUCCUCCUAAAUAAACCCCACCCCCCAACCCCAGAGCCCUGUCAUGGCUUAGUUUGACAAGAGAGGACUUCGUGUACAGAUCUGGCUGCCUUCAGGGCUGAGGAAGGAGGAGGAGGAGAGGUGGGCGGCUCCCCGGGCAGUACUGUCCUCCUCUGAUCUGCCAUGUGUCACUGGAAUGUAGGUCGGCCUUCGCUGGACAACUUGAUGGAGGCUGGAAGCAUGUGGACCCCAUACGGGGUCCCCCUCACUCUCUUCCUGCUCAAGACGGGAGUUAAGAGGCCCAAAGAACGCAGAGAGGCCAUCAAGACAAGCGAAAGUGGUCGUUCGUUUCGCUCGCAAAAGCCUGGGAAAUCUAAAGCUUAGCAAAGGCUUUAUCAGUCCUGGAGCUGAGCCAAGGAGCAGGCUGAAGUUCAGCUGGCCGGGCCCAACGCAGCUGCUGGCUCUGCACGCUUCCCACAGGGACUUUUCCUCGGCCCUCUGAUUUAGACAGCGAACGGGAUGGGUGAUGUGCAUGUAGCUGUCGAGGGUGAUUGGAGAAACAGAAUGACUGGCAAUUACCGAGCAGUUCAGGUGGAGGUAUAGAGUGCAGAGAAGGUCUCCUUUCCAGCAGUAAAACGAAGUGUCGGUGAAAGGGCAGCUGUCCUUGUGGAAAGGCUGUAACUUUAAAGGGAUAUUGGCCAAGGCUUUCUGCUGAACCUUCAGGCUUGGUCACUUGCCUUUCCCCCACAGUUCAGAGGGAAAGAGAUAGUCCAUGAAUUGAAUUUUUCUUGUGAAUUAAAACAUCGAUGUCCUGGUUUGGGGUAACAAGCAUUGCCAAGCUAGUGCUGAGCAGGCAGAAAGGAGGGAUACGACGAAUGCUUUGCCUUCGGGGCAAGGCAGAAAAAAAUGUUCACAAAAGAGCAUCAUUCCACUGAUUGUUCAAGGUCACCAGACUGUGCAUGCUCAAAAUGGGACUCAAGACUCCCAAAUCCCAGUGUCUGAUUAAUUGUCCUUUGACUAAAACAAUGAAAGUAAAAUGGAUUAGCAAAAACGGUUGCUCCAGGCCAAGAAGUUCAGGAAGCAGAGUCUCAAGCAAAGUAGGAUUUUCUUUAAUUAGGUUGAAGGCCUUGGUAAUAAUGCUGUAAAUAUGAAAUUGUCAUGUGAACAGUAGGUAUAGUGGUGAUUCUGUUUUAUCAUGCCAGUAAAAAAAUGGUGAGUGUUGAUGUGCCGUGGUGCUGGCACUGAGCAAGGCAUUUUCCCUAUGCUAUGUGAAUUAACCCUCACAAGUACCUGGUAAGUAUGAUAGCCACUAUAUUACUGAUGGGGCUAACACUGGUUAAAGUUUUUGACUUGAUGUGUAUGUGGUGAACUAGGAUUCAAUUUUAGGUUUCUGACUUCCAUGUUUCACAACCACGUGGCUUAUUCUGUGUAUUCAUAUCUAGGUUGAUUGUUGUAAAGUAUAAAUUUCUAGAUGAGAAAAACUCUGAGCUAAAACAGAGUUAAGUGUUGUUGCUCAGUCGUGUCCGACUCUUUGUGACCCUCAUGGACUGUUUCCCACCAGGCUUCUCUG